rnacentral:lncRNA from 1 species
CUACAUAUUUUAAAUGCACAUUAAUUUUUAUUACUCAUAACUUGAGUUUGUCUAAUGUCUAAGAAAAUUAAGUGCUGGCUUGUUCUUUAUUAAAAUAUGGUGGUUAAACCAUGAGAUAGACACACAUAUAUUAUAAAUAAACAAUAACCUAGUACGCCAAAAUAUGAUGUUAUGGCUAAAACCAGAAAAAGAGCCAUGCUAGUAUGAUCCAUCAAAAAACUUAUUAUAGAUCUUAAGUAAAAUAUGAUUAUUUAUCUAUUCUCUUAUUAUUUUUU